UACGUAGGGCGCAAGCGUUGUCCGGAAUUAUUGGGCGUAAAGAGCUCGUAGGCGGUUUGUCGCGUCUGCUGUGAAAACCUGAGGCUCAACCUCGGGCUUGCAGUGGGUACGGGCAGACUAGAGUGAUGUAGGGGAGACUGGAAUUCCUGGUGUAGCGGUGAAAUGCGCAGAUAUCAGGAGGAACACCGAUGGCGAAGGCAGGUCUCUGGGCAUUAACUGACGCUGAGGAGCGAAAGCAUGGGGAGCGAACAGG
rnacentral:rRNA from 1 species